GAUGAAGAACGCAGCGAAAUGCGAUAAGUAAUGUGAAUUGCAGAAUUCAGUGAAUCAUCGAAUCUUUGAACGCGCAUUGCGCCCGCUAGUAUUCUGGCGGGCAUGCCUGUCCGAGCGUCAUUUCAACCCUCAAGCCCCCGGGCUUGGUGUUGGGGAUCGGCGAGCCUCCGCGCCCGCCGUCCCCUAAAUCUAGUGGCGGUCUCGCUGUAGCUUCCUCUGCGUAGUAGCACACCUCGCACUGGGAAACAGCGCGGCCACGCCGUUAAACCCCCAACUUCUGAACGUUUGACCUCGGAUCAGGUAGGAAUACCCGCUGAACUUAAGCAUAUCAAUAAGCCGAGGA
rnacentral:misc_RNA from 1 species